UACAUUUGAAGGAGUAUUUUUGUUCCCAAAAUACUCCUUCCGGUUUGUCACAAGAAUGUAAUGCUUUUUAAUUAGAAAGAUUAUUAAAAUACCAACUGCGGUGACACAAAUCACCAUAAACCACAAACAUAUAUAGAGAUUGAGACUGAUAUUUAUACUUAGUUAUAUUAAUUCCAAACCAGAGAUAUGAAUACCUGGACAGAGUUUUGUUAAACUUAAAAAAAAAGAGGCUUAAGAAUAUUAGGGCUGUUAAAAAGGUAAAUAACUAUAAUUCUUAAUUUUUUUGUCAAUUUCUGUUUUAAGCAAAGAAUAAUAUAUGUGCAUAUAUUUUAAUAUAUGUGCAAAAUAAACUUUUAUUUGUAAAGAAAUUAAUCAUUUGUUGACAAUAAAUGUUGUUCUUUUAAACUUUCUAUUCAUCAUCCAGAAUUCAGAAACCAGUAUCAAGGUUUCCAUAGAAAUAUUUAGCAGCACAGCUGUUUUCAAAAAUACAAAAAAACAUUUCAGCACCAAAACUGUACGACUUGGAUAGGUUUAUCCUUUUGAAAAGAGCUGAAAAAAAGCUGGUUCUUCACUCAUGCAUGAAACCACUAAUUAAGUGUCCUUUCUGUAGUGCAGGACUAGCCCCUGUCAUUUAACCUUUUUAAAAUACUUCUCCAUAUAAUUAACUGAUUACAGUUAACAGCCGUCCUCACAAAUGCAGCUGUCAUUCAAAACAAAAGCAUCUAAAAUGGGAAUGAACAGCGCAGUGCAGAAUCAUUUAUGAAAUCCUCUAUUCUUAGCGGAAUGAGAAACGAUUCAGCGACAUAAUUACGGGUGUCACUGGGACUGAUUGAUGCCAUUCGGAAGGAACUGAUGGUACCAGCUGUCUGAGAGACAGAGUUAUCUCUAGCAGCUCCCAAUCGCAGUCUGAAUGUUAUUCAAUCACUGGAAAUGUCAGCAAGUUAGCCAGACGCUCAUCAAAAUAUGUGCGAUUGCUCAAUGGCGCAAAAAGAUCUGAAGGAGGCUGAUUAAAAUGAACAAAAUGCGUCAGAGAGCCGCUGAUAUGCUGAUCAUGUCAUUUUAUCGGGUUCCUCCCCAUGCAUGUUUUAAUAUAACUGUCUGGCCCACAUUCUAGCCCUGAAAUUGUGUUGUUUUGAAUAUGUGCCACAUUAUUUUUUUCAAGAAUUCAUAUCAGCAACUCCUCUGUUCUUCAUUAGAUCUUUUCACUAUCAUCUAACUCAGCUCGCCUUUUGAUUCUCUGGACUUUUUGCCAUUUUAUUUAGUCUGUUUGCCCUGUGUCUCAGAAUAAAACCAGAGCUCAGCUGACUAUGUGGCGAUGUCCCCUUUUGGCCAGUGGCGCUGCUGAGAUGGCAGAGGCGGAGAAAGAGGGAGUAAGCCAGACACAGAGAAACAAAAAGAGACUGAGAGAGAACGGCCUGGCGGAGGCCCAGACCUCAUGCCUUCUGUGGCCAAGCUGAGGAACAGCAUUGACAUUCAUCCCAUGCAGGAACUCUACAGGCUUGAGGUUUUCUGCUCUACAACUCCCAACCACCGCGAACAUAUAAUACCUGUAAAUAUGUGCUUGAUUUAAAUAGACACUAAAAAAAGAUUGUUCUUUAAGAGUACUUUACAUGUAACAACAGUUCUAUUUUGAACCAUAUCAUACAAAGAACACUUUUAUGCUGAAAUGGUCAGACUUUAAGGUUCUUUAUUCCCGCCUUUUUGUUUUUCAAAUCCUUAACCUCAUUAGUCAUUUCCUGGAGCUCAGAUAUCCAACUACACAGAAGAUCACUCUCAACAGGAAACGCAUUGAUGAGCAGCUCUAUUCACUAUUCAAUAUUCUCCACUAAAUGCUUCCACAUCCCACAUCCUCAUCAUCUGCAAAAAGAAACUGCCACUCAGUAACACCAAAAUACACAUGAUGAAUUGAAUGGCAUCAUAGUUGACUGGAAAGAUAUUUCACUGGAAACGGGCCUUCAUUCGAUCUAUUUUCUGUUUCUGACUUCUUUAUGCAUGUUCAAAGUCAACUGUCAUUUAUUAAUGUAUUCAUGUAAUAAAUGAAAAUAAAGAGCUCAUCAGAUUACACGGGCAGAGAAAUGACAAACAUACUGAACAAUGGCCUGUUGCUCACAAAUGAGCCUGAUCAUGAAGGAAAGCUAUGCCAUUUUUCUGCCAGUCUGAAUCAAAUAGUUGACUUAAAAGCCAAAAACAUAUAAAUCUAUAAAAAAGCUAAAGAUAUGGAAGAGAAAUAGGCCUAUA